rnacentral:tRNA from 1 species
GGAGAAUUGGGCGAAGUCAGCGGUCUUGAAAACCGUACUGCCAGUGAUGGUAGCAGAGGCUCAAAUCCUCUAUUCUCCG